AUAUAACCAGAUCUACUUUACCCUUCUUCCCCAGCUAGCACUUCCAAUUCCCCAAAUCUCGUUUUUUACCUUUCUCACAAAACCCUAUCUCUCCUUCUUCAACAGCGAGCUUCCCCAAUUCUUCAGCUUUUAAUUUCAGUGGUCACAACUACAAAACUAUCCCAAGAAUGAGGUCUAACCACGCCGCCAUGUUUCUCGGUAGAAUUUUGUCGAAUUCUUCAUCUAAAUUCUCCACUUUUGCCAUCACUUCUCCACAUUAUCAAUCAUUUCUUCUACCCAGUUUUCAUUUUGAUAAUGCCAGCUGCCAAAUGAGGAGACACUUCUCCGCCUAUCCCAGAUUCGAUUUUGAAUCUAUACGUGAACCCAAUGAUGCCGUCGCUCUAUUUCAGGAUAUGAUGAGAACGGAGCCGCUUCCUUAUGCUUCUGUUUUCACGAAAUUGCUGAGUACUGUGGUGAAGCUGAAACAAUACUCUCUUGCCCUUCAUCUGAUCGACGAAAUGCUUCAAAGGCAUGUUCCUGUAAAUCAGUACAUAUUGAAUAUUGCAAUUGAUUGCUACUGCCGACAGAAAAGACCUGAUUGUGGGUUUGCGAUCUUAGGCAGUUUUUUCAAGCGUGGGUUCGAGCCUACUGUGGUAACCUUUACCACUCUACUCAAAGGUCUAUUGUUGGUUGGAAGGAUCCCAGAGGCAGCUAAAUUGUUGGGGAAGCUGUCGGCCUACCAACUGUGCGAGCCCGAUGAGUAUACGUAUAAUACUAUAAUUAAUGGGUUAUGCAAAGCUGGAGAUAUUCUACAGGCGAUCGAUUUGCUCUGCUCAUUGGAAAAAGGAAAAGGGAGCUGCAAACCCAAUGUCUAUGCUUACAAUGCAGUCAUUGAUGGUCUAUGCAAGGAAGGAAAGGUGGACGAUGCUCUCCAACUCUUCUCCUCUUUGGGUGAUAAGGGGAUUUCACCCAAUGUUGUGACAUAUAAUUCAAUAAUUGAGGGGUUAUGCAAUAGGAGAAGAAUGGACGAGGCUGAACACGUUUUGAAGAAGAUGAUAGCUGAUAUGGUCUGUCCAGAUGUGUGGACGUGUAAUAUCUUUGUGGAUGCUUGGUGCAGAGAUGGAAAGCUGGAAGACGCCGAGCAUAUGUUGAUAUCUAUGAAGGAGAUUGAUGUUCAACCCGACAUUGUCACAUACAACGCAUUGAUAAAUGGAUAUUGUAUGCUAGGAAAACUGGACGAAGCUGAACGCAUUUUCCAACUGGCAAUGAGCUCUGGAAUGAAGCCCGAUAUCAUAAGCUACAAUAGCUUGAUGAACGGGUAUUGCAAAAGUGGGCGAGUCGAUGAAGUUUCAAGACUUUUUACCAUAAUUCCCGCCAAAAGGUUAAAGCGCGAUGUGUUUUCUUAUAACAUAAUGCUAGAGGCUUUAUUUCGUGAAAGCAAAUGUGAAGGCGGCUUGAAAUUGUUCAAAGAAAUGGAAGCUCUACAAGUGUCUCCGGAUAUAAGGACUUAUAAUAUCUUGUUGGAUGGUCUAUGCAGUGCUCAUCGUAUCAAUGAAGCAUUUUCUGUGUUGCAUACCAUGGAAGAUAAAGGCAUCGUUCCAGACAUAGUAACAUAUAGUAUCCUCAUUGAGGGAUUGUGCAACGACAACAAAGUCAGAGAAGCAAAAGAUCUGUUCGACAAGCUUCCAUCCAAAGGUUUGCAGCCUGAAGUCAUAACAGAUAAUAUUCUCAUUUGUGCACUUGGCGAAAGAGGGCAGAUAAAGGAGGCUAAAGAUCUGUUCCAUGAGCUUCCAUCCAAAGGUUUGCAGCCUGAUGUCGUAACAUAUAGUAUCCUCAUUGGUGCACUUUGCAAAGAAGGGCAGAUAGAGGAGGCUAAAGAUCUGUUCCAUGAGCUCCAAUCCAAGGGUUUGCAGCCUGACGUCAUAACUUAUACAAUCCUUAUCGGUGCACUUUGUGAGGAAGCGCGGAUAGAGGAGGCUAAGGAUUUGAUGACACAAAUGGUAAGCAACGGUUGCUUGCCAAAUAGUGUAACAUACAAUGUUUUUGUUCGAGGUCUUCUCAAAAUGAACAAGAUGCUUGAUGCAAUGCCACUGUUGGAAGAGAUGGAUUCAAGGGGAUUCACACUUGACAAAACUGCAUAAACGAUGUUGAUUGAAGCUGUGAAAUGGGAAGUAGUAGGCACUGUUGGUGGGAUUGUUUACUUGGAUUGGGAGUUGCACAGCUAUGCACCUUGACUUGCAACUUCUGCAUUCAUUCUUGUAAGUUGAUGUGAACUCGAGACCCUCCAAUACCUCCUGUGGUGUCAAAAUCUGAGCAUUGAAAAUAAUAAGCAAUUAGUUUUCUUGGGGUGAAAAUAGGAAACCAUAGAAAAGCAUCACCUUGAACAAGAACUGCUGCAAGAAACAGUAUGAAUAGGAACAAGUGAGAGAGAGAGAUGUUAAUGCUGAGCUCCAUCUGUGUAUUAAUUGUUUUUCACUUGUCAAUAGUUUUUAACUGCCUCAUGUUUGGGUGCAAGGGGUUUCACACUUGACGAAACUACUUUUUCGAUGUCGAUUGAACCUAUGGUAAGGGAAGGUAGAGAUAGUGUUCUAUUUGAUAAGGUUAAGAAACCCGUACCAAAGGACUUGUAUUCUAGAUUGGUGUUAUGUUGUGUUAGAAGAAUUAUUUUACUAGAAAGUAAGGGGAAAGUACAUUUAUAGCUUAUUUGUUUGUUUAAUCUCGAUGUAAUGAUGAUUUUAAAUGCUUGGAUUUCAUAGCUUUAUCAUAUAGAUGAGUAGGAUUUCUCUUCAUUAUAAUCAUAUAUUUAUUUUUUGUAAUACAUGUUAGUUUUAGCUAUAAGUGUGUGCUUCAGUAUAUAUUAUGAAUGUUACUAUUACACGACGUGACAAAGGAUUAGAUCUAUACUUUGGGAUGUUACUUAUUCAAACCUCUUUGAGAAUAUUAUUUAAUUUUUUUUUAUCUAAACGUAUAUUCACAAAAUGCCCUUAAAAAUUAAUUUGUUAUGAUUUUUUAAUUUGUUUCAUGUUAUAUCAAUAUCUAUAUCUA